AGAAGCGCGAGGACGACGAAGAACAUGGCGAAGAGGUAGAGGCGGAGCAGCCAGGUCUGGCGGUAGCAGGCGCCGGCGAAGCCCAUGAGGGAGAUGACCAUGAGGACGAGCCCCACAAUGAUGAUGGGCCACUGCAGGAAGCGGAUGCAGUCGGUGGAGUUGGCCCGCGACGCCAGCCAGAUGCCGCCGCCCAGGAUCGGGAUCGAGAUCAGGAAGGUGAUGAAGUUGAUGAUCCCCAGCACGCUCGAGCCCCCGCGCAGCAUCUUGCUCUUGCUCUUCCUCCUGGCUGCUGCCUCCUGGCCUUCUCUUCUCUUCCUCGGCCUGCUGUUGUUGCUCCGCUUCUUGACUCCGCGCUUCUCUUUCUCUCUCUACCUGUGCUGGGCUGUGCCGUUGCCUGCUCUGCUUUGUGCGUGCGUGGUGAGUGAGGGAGGGAGACAGGGCGGUUGGUUUUUAGCGAGGUCGAGGAGCACGCUGCGGCUGUACGGGAGAGCAGAUGCAAGGCAGCAUAAGCC
rnacentral:misc_RNA from 1 species